GGCGAAAGUCUGAGGGGAAAAAUGGCGGGAAAAGGAUCUGAGGGGAAAAAUGCACGGAAAAAGGGAAAAUCCCGGAGAAAGGGGCGGAAGAAGGACAGAGGUCACCCACAGACCCCACGGUGAGCGUGGUUUGAUGUCAGCUUCCAGGUGAGUUCCUCAUUUCCAGGUGAGUUCCUCAUUUCCAGGUGAAUUCCUCAUUUCCAGGUGAGUUCCUCAUUUCCAGGUGAGUUCCUCAUUUCCAGGUGAAUUCCUCACUUCCACGUGAAUUCCUCUCUCUUUUUCCUCCUUACUUCCACAUCCCACCUGUGUUUUUUUCCCUGUUUGUUGAGAAUUUGCCUUUUUCCCCCGAGGUCACAACCUUCCUCCCUCCUCCUCCUCCUCCUCCUGCUGGUAAUCCCGCCGGCUGUUGCUGGCGCUCAUCCCCGGUUCCGUUCCCGGCCGUGGGCGUUAAUCCCUGCCCGGAAAUCCCGGGAUAACGAGGAAGUUGGGAGGGAGGGAGGGAGGCCUGUGCCCCUGCUGGGGUUAAUUAACGAUUCCAGCCUUGAUUGAUUCCGCAAUAAACUCCCCAAAAAGGGAGGGGGAGUGGGCGCUGAGUCACGGCUGCUCCGGAUGACUCAAAUUCUUGGAAUUGGGAGUAAAUCAGCAAGUUUGGCAACAGCGGUUUGAAUAAAUCGUUAAUUUGGGGAGGGAUUAAUUAGGGGAGUAGUGAAGGAGGCUCCAGUCCUGUGGAAAGGGAUCCCAAAUGGUUUAUUCAUUAAUUAAUAAUUAAUUAAGGGAUUUGGGUUUUUUGCAGGAGAAUGAGAUUGGGGGAAAAAAAAAAACAUUUCAGGGAUGAAGUGAUAUUUGGGGUAAUUUCAGGGAUAAUAACAAUAAUUUUGGGGAUAAUUUGGGGUUUAGAGCAGGGAAGAGAGGAAGGAGGAGAGGGGCGAGAAAGCAAAAAUCCCCUUUUCAUGGUUAAAAAUCCCCCAAAAUUUGGCAAAUCAAAGGAGCUUUUCCAGGACUGGAGCAGAGGGGGAUGAGUGGGGGGAGAACAGAAAGGAGUGGACGAGGUCCCAAAUUAAAGCUGGAACACCCCAAAAUUCAGCCCUGGGUUGUGGAAGGGAAAAAACUGGGUGAGAAAAGGGACGAAACAGGGAAAAAAAGGGGAUUUUGGCUGAUUUUGGUUAUUUCGAAACGGCUCCGGCAGCGACGGUUUCGCAAUUCCUGGGCCGAGGUGGGGCCCAAACAGCUCCAUCUUUACAUCACUGAUUAAAGUGGAACCCAGGAAAAUUGGGGUGAAAUCCAGGAGGAAAAGUUCAUCCACGUUGUGUCAUCCCCCUCCCCAUGUUGGAGAGCCCCCAAACCACAGAAACCCGCCCAAAAUGAGCCGUUCUGGGCCCCUUUCCCUUCCCGUUGUCUGAGCAGCAGCUGUGGUGUGUUUGUGGGACAGGAGGGGACACGGAGCCACGUUCCCAUCCCAAUCUCCGGGUUUAAUUAAUCACACACGCUCCUGGGGUUAAUUAAUCACAAAUUAAGCUCUGAAACAGCUGGAAUUGGUUUGGGGAGGAAAAAAUCCCAAAAUAAAUAAAACGUGGACAAAGUGUGGGGGGAGCAAAGAGUUUGGAACAGGGAAGAGUUGGACCAAAUAGCAAUUAAACCUGAUGGAGCCUAAUUAAGCUAAUUAAUCAGUUUGUUACUGAUUUUAUGGGUUUAUCCCCAAAUUCUGGGCGUUUGCACCAAAAGUGGUUCGGGUUUCUGACGCACAGGGGGAGGGGAAGGAAGAGGCGUGACAAGGGUUCCUUAACGAGAAUCUAAUGAGUCAUUAGUCAGAUAACCUAAAUUAGACUCUUAAUUAGGCAAUGAGGAGCAGCACCAGCGGGGUCAGGAGGGGCCCCGGCUCCGCCCAAGGGGGAUCCCGGCCUCAUUUUGGGCUCAAACUGCCAGGAAUGGGUGAAAGGAUGGAAUCUGUGACAGGAGCCCGGCCAAGGUCCCACCCUGUCCCGGUGGCUCCUCCAGCAGCAGCGUUUUCCAGCAGGGUUUUUGUCCCUAUUCCCCAAAAUCCAGCUGGAAUUCCCUCGGCAUUCCCAACAAUCCGUGAGGGAUCCCUCGGUGCCAGAUCCACCUGUGGCUCACGCGGGGGUUUUGGGUUGGUUUUGCGCCUCCUCGACCAUUUCCAGUCGCUCCGGUUGGGCCCCAGAGGGGUUUUUUGGCCCCUCUGUGGAUCGAGUUCCUAAAACAAGAGGUUAUCCCGGCUCCUCCACGGGGAGUUUUGGCUUCUCCGCAGGGACACGGAGCCCAGCGGAGAUUUCCCCACCCGUGGGAUUUUCAAAGGGUUUCGUGGAGCAGAGGUUGAGGUGACAGCGCCGUGGUGGCUCAGGAGGGUCAGAGCCGUGGAGAACAAACCCCGAAUCCUCCUGGCCGGAAUCUUUGGGAAUUCACCCGGCGGGAUCCAGCGUGGUCAGCUCCGGCACUGAGGGGGCUGGGAGAGCUCAGGGGGUCACUGGGCUUCUCCCCCGAGGCCGAGCCCUCACCCGGCGUGAGGGAAGGCGGGAAUCCGAGCUGGAAUCCGAGAUCUGCAUCCAAAACCACCCCAAAUCCUCCUCCAUCCUCAUCCUCACCGUGAGGAAAGGCGGGAAUCCGAGCUGGAAUCCGAGAUCCACGUCCGAAAACCACCCAAAAUCCUCCUCCAUCCUCAUCCUCACCGUGAGGAAAGGCGGGAAUCCGAGCUGGAAUCCGAGAUCCAAAACACCCAAAAUCCUCCUCCAUCCUCAUCCUCACCAUGAGGAAAGGCGGGAAUCCGAGCUGGAAUCCGAGAUCCACAUCCAAAACCACCCAAAAUCCUCCUCCAUCCUCAUCCUCACCGUGAGGAAAGGCGGGAAUCCGAGCUGGAAUCCGAGAUCCACAUCCAAAACCACCCAAAAUCCUCCUCCAUCCUCAUCCUCACCGUGAGGAAAGGUGGGAAUCCGAGCUGGAAUCCGAGAUCCGCAUCCAAAACCACCCCAAAUCCUCCUCCAUCCUCAUCCUCACCGUGAGGAAAGGUGGGAAUCCGAGCUGGAAUCCGAGAUCCGCAUCCAAAACCACCCCAAAUCCUCCUCCAUCCUCAUCCUCACCGUGAGGAAAGGUGGGAAUCCGAACUGGAAUCCGAGAUCCGAAACACCCAAAAUCCUCCUCCAUCCUCAUCCUCACCGUGAGGAAAGGCGGGAAUCCGAGCUGGAAUCCGAGAUCCA